UACGAAGGGGGCUAGCGUUGUUCGGAAUCACUGGGCGUAAAGCGCACGUAGGCGGUUUCGUAAGUCAGGGGUGAAGUCCCGGGGCUCAACCUCGGAACUGCCUUUGAUACUGCGGGUCUUGAGUCCGAUAGAGGUGGGUGGAAUUCCUAGUGUAGAGGUGAAAUUCGUAGAUAUUAGGAAGAACACCGGUGGCGAAGGCGGCCCGCUGGAUCGGUACUGACGCUGCGGUGCGAAAGCGUGGGGAGCAAACAGG
rnacentral:rRNA from 1 species